ensembl:lncRNA
GGCACGGGGAGCCGGCGCCCCCCCAGAGGCAGCGCUCGCCCCAGCAGCUGCGCCCUGGGCUGCGGGGCCCAAGCCCUACGGGGAGGAGAGGCCGCGUUCCCCGCCGGGCCAGCGCCCCUGCAGUCUCAGCCUGGGGUGCGUGGCACCUGGGCCACCAAACGGGGCCACGCUUGCCCGGCCCGGGACCUGGCGCCCCCAGCCCCGGCCCUGGGUUGUCCGUCGGGGGGCACGGGGCGGGGGCUGCACUCCUGCCUCCUCACCGUGCUACUCAAAUUCCCAGAGCUCCAGGUGCAAGAUGUGCGACUCCGUGUGACUUAAUGCACAGUGUUCUAAUGCGUGUGAUGUAGAUGGGGCCUCGGAAGAUGUAAUAACAGACUCUCACCCCUGUAGGGCCAGUGCGUUCCCACGGUAAGGGAUGCCCACGGCCAGGGGGCUCAGCGACAGGCUCUGCCUUGGACCCAGGUGGUGACCCCAGGGCCCGGGAUCGAUUCCCCCAUGGGGCUCCCCGCAGGGAGCCUGCUGCUCCCUCUGCCCGUGUCUCUGCCUCUCUCUGUGUCUCAUGAAUAAAUACAUAAAAUCUUAAAAAAAAAAAAAAAAAGGAAAGGAAGAUGCCNCCAUAUACGUAGCACAAUCACAGAAAUCUGCUUGGUGUCCCCGCCUCCUUCAUCCCUGUCCCUACAGCCGGGGACUCUUCAGCAGCCUCCUCCUCCUGUCUUUCUGACGUUUUCCCGGCGUAUGCUCACACACACGUGUGCACACUGUCUGCUCACACCGGCGGGAUUACAUCGCAGCAUUGUACUGGCUACAGGACCCACGGGGCACAAGAGACACACGCCCCGGCCGGGGGACGCCGCCUCUUCACCUCAGAUGUCUCUUGCACAUUGACUGGAAAUGGCUGUUGGGAACCCGACUCCGGGGAAUCUCUGCGACCCCGGACCGCCCGUGGCUGCUUUGCACGCGCUGUGCCCGGGCACGUGCAGAAGCUGCGUGUGGCCCUUGUGCCAGGCCCCGCGCCCGCCUUCCUCCGGCUCCGGCACCAGGGCAGAGGCGGCGCCAGCUCUCCCUCGUCCUCCCAGGGCCAACAGGCUUGUGGUGACAGGGCCCACGCUCCCUCUCCGCACGUCCCUCCACGGCCUUGUCACACCCCUGGGGGUGUCCAGGGUUCACAACUGCUCGGGCACCUCGACUGGCGCCGAGCCGAUGGCACCUACAAGCCGCUCGUUGUCGGGUGACUUCGGAUCCUCACAGGUGUUGACAGAUGUCGAGGUGGGGGUCUCGGGACCAACUGAUGAAACGUGGGACCUUUUCUGCAUCUUCCCUGUCUCGCCCCCUGAAGGUGUAUCGGGCCAGGAGAGUUGACCACCUGCACUCAUUUCUACUGCUAGGUAACGGAUCACUGCACCCAGAGCAGAGUAGAACAACUCCUGUUUGUUGACCCCCAGUUUCCAUGGUUCGGGAGUCUACACAGUUUAGAUGGUUUCUCACGAGGCUGAAAUCAGGGCGGCAUCGUCGGCUGGAAGCUCCGGGUACGGGAAGGCCUGCCUCAAAGCUCCCUGAGAUCAUUGGCAGAAUUGAGUUCCUUAGGGCUGUAGGACUGACGGUCCUCCUAGCUGUUGGUUGGGGCUGCUCCUAGGGGACCUAGUGGCUGCCCCCGUCUGCCAUGGGGGCCUCCCCCGAGUCAGAGCCCUCACAGCCUGAGCUCUUCAACUUCCUCUUCCCUGACUGGCUGAAGAAAACUGCUGUCAAAGUGCUCUUGCCUGAAAGUUCCCACAGGCUCACCCGGAUAAUGUUCCUAGUCUAAGGCCGGUCAACUGUGCCAUAACAUCACCUCAUCUCAGGCAGAAACCAGCAUUUUCACAGCCCCGGGGAUUAUUCAGGGGAGGUACAGCCCGGGUGCAGGGAAUCUUGGGGUCCUCCCCACCACUCAACACACCACCUGAAAGGGGUGUGCAGAGAGACCUCUACAUGGGGCAGGGGGGUAUUCUCGAGCGAGGCACAGGUGUGUGUGUGUGUGUGUGUGUGUGUGUGUGUGUGUGAGAAGGACCUUCAGG